UACGAAGGGGGCUAGCGUUGCUCGGAAUUACUGGGCGUAAAGGGCGUGUAGGCGGGAAGGUAAGUCGGGCGUGAAAUCCCCAAGCUCAACUUGGGAACUGCACUCGAAACUACCUUUCUUGAGUGUCGGAGAGGAAAGCGGAAUUCCUGGUGUAGAGGUGAAAUUCGUAGAUAUCAGGAGGAACACCAGUGGCGAAGGCGGCUUUCUGGACGAUGACUGACGCUGAGACGCGAAAGCGUGGGGAGCAAACAGG
rnacentral:rRNA from 1 species